rnacentral:lncRNA from 1 species
GGCACGCUGCCAGGCCCAGGAAAGUGCUUUCAAAGUCUGUACUGUUUCCAUAGCUCCUGCAAAUGAUAAGAGGCUUGAGGAUACUUCCCAGGAACUCCUGCCUUUUUGGAGGUGACUCUGUCAGUUAAAGUGUGAAUGAAGAGUGGAGCAUAAAAGUAGAGUAUCCCUUUAUGUUGGAGAUGUUUAUGUUGCAAUAAAUGAAGAAAAAUAAGUUAUGAACUUUUGACUCGAGUUUCCAAAAUUCACAUUAUAACUGUGAUGCAGGAGCUGAGAAAUUUCCAUUAAAAGAGUUGUUCAAUGCAGGUGAUUAAUAAUACUCAACUCCUAACCACAGGGCUAUAGAAAAGUUAAAAUUGUUUAAUCUCACUUUCCUAGCAUAGUUACUAUUAUAAUAUUAUUUUACUUGUACUCAUUUUUUCUAUUAUGUU